GAUGAACGCUGGCUACAGGCUUAACACAUGCAAGUCGAGGGGAAACGACGGGGAAGCUUGCUUCCCCGGGCGUCGACCGGCGCACGGGUGAGUAACGCGUAUCCAACCUGCCUCUGACUGAGGGAUAACCCGUCGAAAGUCGGCCUAAUACCUCAUGGCAUCGUCUGCGGGCAUCCAACGACGAUUAAAGAUUUCAUCGGUCAGGGAUGGGGAUGCGUCUGAUUAGCUUGUUGGCGGGGUAACGGCCCACCAAGGCUACGAUCAGUAGGGGUUCUGAGAGGAAGGUCCCCCACAUUGGAACUGAGACACGGUCCAAACUCCUACGGGAGGCAGCAGUGAGGAAUAGUGGUCAAUGGGCGGGAGCCUGAACCAGCCAAGUAGCGUGCAGGAGGACGGCCCUAUGGGUUGUAAACUGCUUUUAGGCGGGGAUAAAGUGAGGGACGUGUCCUUCAUUGCAGGUACCGCAUGAAUAAGGACCGGCUAAUUCCGUG
rnacentral:rRNA from 1 species